rnacentral:rRNA from 1 species
AGCAGUAGCCGCGGUAAUACGGAGGGGGCUAGCGUUGUUCGGAAUUACUGGGCGUAAAGCGCACGUAGGCGGCUUGGUAAGUUAGAGGUGAAAGCCUGGAGCUCAACUCCAGAAUUGCCUUUAAGACUGCCGAGCUAGCAGGUGAGAGAGGUAAGUGGAAUUCCGAGUGUAGAGGUGAAAUUCGUAGAUAUUCGGAAGAACACCAGUGGCGAAGGCGGCUUACUGGCUCAUACUGGACGCUGAGGCACGAAAGCGUGGGGAGCAAACAGGAUUAGAUACCCCGGUAGUCCCUGUCUCUUAUAC